GCUGCCGCGCUUUCCUCUGCCCGACACCGCUGCACGCCGUUGCAGCAACCGCUCGAGCCCGCUUAGCACCGCCAGCCGCCGUCCCCUUUUGAACGACGCCACCACAGCAGCUCGCUGCCCGCUCCAAGCUUGCUGCCCUUCGCCGGAGCUCCGACGACCGUGCCCACCGCCCACGAUCGCCCGUCACAACAAUACCAGCCAUCCCAGCCGUGGGCUGAGUCUCCAUCGUGGUCCAUAAAACACCACCCAUUAAGGCAAAUUUGGAAAAAGUUCAAACUAGGUAGGUUUAUUUUAUUAGGUAGAUCUAUUUUAU
rnacentral:lncRNA from 1 species